AUGCCUGGCCCCGCAUACCGAGCAGAGCAUGAUCAGCAGCAGCCUAAGUGGAAGAGUGCCUGUGAUCCUAGGAAACCUGAUGGGCGCUGGAGCAGCGAUUCGACGCGUGGGUUUCUCUUUAAUCCUUCCGACUUCCCCAAGCCCCGCGCACUCAGGUUCCGCUCCAAGUGCGGGACCCGCCCGGGGUGUGUCGGGGGUACUCGGCCGGAGGCGGCCGGUGAGUGGGGCUUACAGGGCCCCGGGACCAAGGAACCCCAGCAUGUGAAUUGGACUUUAUCCCCCAGUUGGAGGAAGAAUAACAGUAGAUGUUGGAUCUUCAGGAAAGCUGAAGAGGGCAGUGCCUCUACUGUCUAGGUAAGUAGUGUCAUAAGAAGACCACCAAUUUGAUGUUGAGAAGAUGAGUUCUAGUCCAAGCCCUUGCAAUUUGUUGGGUCAUGUAGGCAAGUGACUCAAUCUGUUUUCUAUCUGUCAGAUGAGUGGGUUGGCCUAGAUGAUGUCUAAGUUCUGCUAAAUCUCUGAUAGUCUAGGACUGUAGACUUCUUUAGAAGAAUACCUGAAGUAUAAUAAUUGGAAGAAGGGUUGAGAGGCAAAUGGGAAGAGCAGUGUGGUAGUUAUUAUUUCUGAAAUUUUUAUUCUCUUUCAAUCCCAGGAAAAUGAUUGCAUUCAGGCUUGAUCAAGUCAUCUUUCUUUUUUCCAUUUCUUUUUUCUACGCUUGAGAGUCUCGAUUCUUCUCAUCCUUCUCCUUGCUCUCAUUUUCCAUGACUAAUCAGCUACCAUAAAAGCUACCUUUUAAUCCCCAACUCUCUGUCAUCAGCUGGUACACCUGCUCAUUUCCAUUUGUUUGGGUUAGCAUAUUACCCAAUAACUCUUUCGAUAUUUCUUGAUGUCUCUGUGUUCACCAUGCCCACUGCAAAAAUUCUGCCUCUUAUCUCUUCUGGCUUUGUUCUCCUCCACUACCCUUUUUUGUUUUCUCCUCACAUAAAGUUGCUAGUAUGCAUGAAUUCAAAUUAGUUGUCUUUUCUCUGCUGGUUUAUUUUCUUUGCUCUCCACAGUAGACACAGGUGACAUUUACACUUUAAAUGUCUUUCAGAUAGAGGGAUUUGACCUGAACCAAAGCAUCAACACCAAUCAGACUUUUUCCAAAAAAC
rnacentral:lncRNA from 1 species